rnacentral:rRNA from 1 species
AACGAACGCUGGCGGCAGGCUUAACACAUGCAAGUCGAACGCCCCGCAAGGGGAGUGGCAGACGGGUGAGUAACGCGUGGGAAUCUACCUAGUUCUACGGAACAACAGAGGGAAACUUCUGCUAAUACCGUAUAGGCCCUACGGGGGAAAGAUUUAUCGGAAUUAGAUGAGCCCGCGUAAGAUUAGCUAGUUGGUGGGGU